AUUGAACGCUGGCGGCAGGCCUAACACAUGCAAGUCGAACGGUAGCACAGAGGAGCUUGCUCCUUGGGUGACGAGUGGCGGACGGGUGAGUAAUGUCUGGGAAACUGCCCGAUGGAGGGGGAUAACUACUGGAAACGGUAGCUAAUACCGCAUAACGUCUUCGGACCAAAGUGGGGGACCUUCGGGCCUCACACCAUCGGAUGUGCCCAGAUGGGAUUAGCUAGUAGGUGGGGUAAUGGCUCACCUAGGCGACGAUCCCUAGCUGGUCUGAGAGGAUGACCAGCAACACUGGAACUGAGACACGGUCCAGACUCCUACGGGAGGCAGCAGUGGGGAAUAUUGCACAAUGGGCGCAAGCCUGAUGCAGCCAUGCCGCGUUUAUGAAGAAGGCCUUCGGGUUGUAAAGUACUUUCAGCGGGGAGGAAGGCGUUAAGGUUAAUAACCUUGGCGAUUGACGUUACCCGCAGAAGAAGCACCGGCUAACUCCGUGCCAGCCGCCGCGGUAA
rnacentral:rRNA from 1 species